AGAAGCAGCCAUCAUUUAAAGAAAGCGUAAUAGCUCACUGGUCGAGUCGGCCUGCGCGGAAGAUGUAACGGGGCUAAACCAUGCACCGAAGCUGCGGCAGCGACACUGUGUGUUGUUGGGUAGGGGAGCGUUCUGUAAGCCUGUGAAGGUGUGUCGUGAGGCAUGCUGGAGGUAUCAGAAGUGCGAAUGCUGACAUAAGUAACGAUAAAGCGGGUGAAAAGCCCGCUCGCCGGAAGACCAAGGGUUCCUGUCCAACGUUAAUCGGGGCAGGGUGAGUCGACCCCUAAGGCGAGGCCGAAAGGCGUAGUCGAUGGGAAACGGGUUAAUAUUCCCGUACUUGGUGUUACUGCGAAGGGGGGACGGAGAAGGCUAUGUUGGCCGGGCGACGGUUGUCCCGGUUUAAGCGUGUAGGUGUGUGUUCCAGGUAAAUCCGGUUCACUUUAACACUGAGGCGUGACGACGAGGCACUACGGUGCUGAAGCAACAAAUGCCCUGCUUCCAGGAAAAGCCUCUAAGCAUCAGGUAACAUCAAAUCGUACCCCAAACCGACACAGGUGGUCAGGUAGAGAAUACCAAGGCGCUUGAGAGAACUCGGGUGAAGGAACUAGGCAAAAUGGUGCCGUAACUUCGGGAGAAGGCACGCUGACA
rnacentral:rRNA from 1 species